CUUCUCGGAUGUGGCAGCUGGAAGCCGCGGCAGGGAGAAUUCGGCUUCUUGAAAGACUGGACCGCAGACUCGUGGUGGUGACUCUUGCUGCCAUUUCCAGUCCGGCUUCUACAGAACCAUGUUCCGGAUCAACAAUGUAGAGUACCAAAAAAGCUCCGGAUGUCAACGUUUUUGAGCAAACGAACGGCUGAGGUGGUCCCGGCAAACAUCCCGUGUUUGAAGAACCAGUGGACCGUUGGCGGAUGGCCGCUAGAACCUGCCGUCGAUUUCAACGUGAACAUCGAUGUCAUGUCAGAAACGCAGGUUCUGACCGGUACCUAACUAGGGAGAACGGUUGUCGUGGACAUCAUUCAAGUGUAUUUAUAAUUUUAAAUGUGUAGUUAGGUAAUUUUUUUGAAUAAAUGGUACUUUUUUGAUUGUU